rnacentral:rRNA from 1 species
UGGUGGGUUGCCUUGUCAGGUUGAUUCCGGUAACGAACGAGACCUCAGCCUGCUAAAUAGUCAUAACCGCCUCGGCGGUUGGCCGACUUCUUAGAGGGACUAUUGACGUUUCAGUCAAUGGAAGUAUGAGGCAAUAACA